AUUGAACGCUGGCGGCAGGCCUAACACGUGCAAGUCGAACGAGUGGCGGACGGGUGAGUAAUGUCUGGGAAACUGCCCGAUGGAGGGGGAUAACUACUGGAAACGGUAGCUAAUACCGCAUACCAUCGGAUGUGCCCAGAUGGGAUUAGCUAGUAGGUGGGGUAACGGCUCACCUAGGCGACGAUCCCUAGCUGGUCUGAGAGGAUGACCAGCCAAAACGGAAAUGAGAAAAGGGCCAGAAUCCUACGGGAGGGAGGAGGGGGGAAUAUUGCACAAUGGGCGCAAGCCUGAUGCAGCCAUGCCGCGUGUAUGAAGAAGGCCUUCGGGUUGUAAAGUACUUUCAGCGAGGAGGCGUUACUCGCAGAAGAAGCAUCGGCUAACUCCGUGCCAGCAGCCGCGGUAAUUC
rnacentral:rRNA from 1 species